CACGUAGGGUGCGAGCGUUGUCCGGAAUUAUUGGGCGUAAAGAGCUCGUAGGCGGUGUGUCGCGUCGGCCGUGAAAACUUGCAGCUUAACUGUGGGCGUGCGGUCGAUACGGGCAUCACUGGAGUUCGGCAGGGGAGACUGGAAUUCCUGGUGUAGCGGUGAAAUGCGCAGAUAUCAGGAGGAACACCCGUGGCGAAGGCGGCUCUCUGGGACGGUACUGACGCUGAGACGCGAAAGCGUGGGGAGCGAACAGG
rnacentral:rRNA from 1 species